rnacentral:rRNA from 1 species
GACGAACGCUGGCGGCGUGCGUAACACAUGCAAGUCGAACGAGAGAGUGAGAGAAGCUUGCUUUUCUUACGAUCGAGUGGCAAACGGGUGAGUAACGCGUAAACAACCUGCCCCGCAGAUGGGGACAACAGCUGGAAACGGCUGCUAAUACCGAAUACGCUCCUCUUAGCGCAUGGUAAGAGGAAGAAAGGGUGGCCUCUGGAACAAGCUACCGCUGUGGGAGGGGUUUGCGUCUGAUUAGCUGGUUGGAGGGGUAACGGCCCACCAAGGCGACGAUCAGUAGCCGGUCUGAGAGGAUGAACGGCCACAUUGGAACUGAGACACGGUCCAGACUCCUACGGGAGGCAGCAGUGGGGAAUCUUCCGCAAUGGGCGAAAGCCUGACGGAGCAACGCCGCGUGAGUGAAGACGGCCUUCGGGUUGUAAAGCUCUGUUAUAGGGGACGAACGGCCGGGUAGC